rnacentral:rRNA from 1 species
UACGAAGGGGGCUAGCGUUGCUCGGAAUCACUGGGCGUAAAGCGCACGUAGGCGGCUUUUUAAGUCAGGGGUGAAAUCCUGGAGCUCAACUCCAGAACUGCCUUUGAUACUGAGAAGCUUGAGUCCGGGAGAGGUCGAGUGGAACUGCGAGUGUAGAGGUGAAAUUCGUAGAUAUUCGCAAGAACACCAGUGGCGAAGGCGGCUCACUGGCCCGGAACUGACGCUGAGACGCGAAAGCGUGGGGAGCAAACAGG